rnacentral:rRNA from 1 species
UACGGAGGGUGCAAGCGUUAUCCGGAUUCACUGGGUUAAAGGGCGCGUAGGCGGCCUGAUAAGUAGGGGGUGAAAUCCUGCGGCUUAACCGCAGGGCUGCCUUCUAAACUGUCAGGCUGGAGCACAGUAGAGGCAGGUGGAAUUCCCGGGUGUAGCGGUGGAAUGCGUAGAGAAUCGGGAAGAACAUCAGUGGCGAAGGCGGCCUGCUGGGCUGUUGCUGACGCUGAGGCGCGACAGCGUGGGGA